rnacentral:lncRNA from 1 species
ACUCACUCGCAUUCUACCUACUCGGAAUAUUACGGUUCCCUUUACGAACCAACCAAGGAGGAGACCUCUCUAGCCCGUCGAGUAUUCAUUCCGUCUGUAAAGAAAGAGGAAGAAAGAGAGAAGGAGAGGGAGACGUACAUUCAGGACCCUCAACCCUUUCUGGGUUCGAUCUUGAGCGGGGCCCACCUGGCCUCUCUUCUCUUUCACCACCGUUUCUCACCGAUAGGCGUAACAUCGGAGACUUAUACCAACAAAUAUAGCGCAUACGCGUACGUUUGCGGUCGCGGAUGCAAACAUUAGAAGCACUUAUUAUACAUAUAAGAGGAUACAUAGUAAACGUAGGACUCAAUAUAUACACACACGUGGAUAGUUCAUUCUUGUCGGAUAAGCGCGUCGCGUCGUGUGCCGCUACCACCACCACACCACCACACAAGCAUCAACAUGCCGAUAGCAGCAGCAGCAGCACCUCCACUACCACUGCACUACCACCACCACGGCUACCACCACCAGCAAGAACAGUGCUAGAAGCAGUGGCAGAGCAAGCACCACCUCCUGUCGAGUGCUCUACACGCUCUCUCUUUCUCUCUUUCCCUCUCUCCCUCUCUCUUUCUACCUCUCUCUCUCUCUCUUUCUCUCUCUUUCUCAACGCUUACCUAGGAGCCGAGCGGAUAGAGAAAGAGGGAGGGAGAGCGGAAAAGAGAGAGGAGUCGUACUCUGUUGGUAGAGGGAGAGAGAAAGAGAAAGAGAGAGAGAGUUGGAGAGAGAGAUGUAGAGAGCACGAGAGAGGGUCUCGGCUUUGCGCAAAAGUUACGACCGAGUGAGUAGCAGUGAGACACACCGCGGAGACCGGAAGAGAUCCUCUCUCCCUAAACAAGUCCUCCUAAAGAAAAAGAAAGAGUGAAGUAAGUUUGUUAGUGCGUGUGUCAUAUGAAAGGAAAAAGUGUGAGAGAAAGAGGGAGAGAGAUCACGCGCGUGAAAACUUUGUCUUCGUCGUGUCGUCGUCGUCGUUGUCCAUACGAGCGUCCUAUGAUUAUAUUUUCGCGCGUGCAUGUGCCAUUCUCUUCCUCCCGUCUUAAUUCGCGACAGGUGACUCCGAGAUAGUGUUGUAUCCGUAGAGAAAAGUGUGUGACGUCGUCUAUUCGCGUUAACUUUAGUUAGUUCUUCACCAUUGAGGUAAUCUUCGGCACCAAGAGCACGUGGAUUUGUAAACCGACCGCGAAAAGAUCUUGCGUCGUCUAUCGUCCAGGGAUCUCUACUGAUGAGAGCGCGCGAAACUCGUUUCGUAGUUGGAUGGGCGCGCGUGGUGGACGUAUACCACGUGUCAAACAAAUCUUUUAAACAUAUACACAACUUUACUAGUACAUUUCGAGAAAUUCCAUUUUCUUUUUGAGUAUUUCGUAAUAUAUUCGUCCGUCCGUUCGUCCGUUUGUUAUAUUUACACAAAAGAAAUCUAAAAGAGAAAAUAAAUCUAGAGCAAUAAGUGACAACAACAAAAAUCCAUGAAACGAAAAGAAAAUAAGAAGAAUAAAAUUCAAGGAUUACAUAGAAGAAGAUCGAUCGAGUAAGCAAUGAAAGCAAUUGA